GGGGGGUGUGGGGAGGGCGACAAUAAGUGGUCACUUCCAUGCUAAGGGGCAACAUGGUCCACUGUGUGAGCAGUUAGGAAAGGGGUAGAAAUGAGACAAGCUUGGUCUCGGGGCUGGGCCACACAGUAACACGCUUGCCUAACAUGCACAUGGCCCUGGGAGGUGGGGGUGUCUCAGACGGCUCACCGUCUUAUUUGGUCACAUCUGAUGGAAAAAGAAAAAAAUAGAAAAGGUUAAAGUUAUUCAAAGAUAUCAAAGCUGAAAACCUUCACAGCCCGGCAGAGUAUUUUGUUUUUGGCUAACUUCCUAGAAUCCGUUGUUUGGCUAGGACUUGGUGAGGAGAACUGAGGUUUCCCACAGGGGAGCCUGCCUGGGCUCUGCUGGCUGUCAGCGAGGCAGGCCCAGUCCUGUGUUCCUCUAUGGAGAGAGCAGUGUCCUUAGGCUGAAAUGUCACCUUUCAGCAGUGACUAGGAAGUGGGUUGCUGCUCCAAGCUGUGGAAGUGCUUGGGAUGUUACAAAUGGUUGCUAAGACAGAAAGUAAUCACAAUGUACAUAUCACAAGUGUGCUGAAGACACUGCAUUGUGCUCACAUUCCCUUAAAUAUUGUUCCCAAACGUGCUCAGCCCCUCCAGCUGGAAACUCUGGGAAGAGGCUGACACAGUUUUAUGAAAAAGACGUGAGGGGGUAGAGGGGGUUGCAGGAGGGGAAAGCAGCCUUCAGUUAAAAAGAUCAGCCCUCAGUUUCAAGGUCAGCUUCAGGCAGGCUGGCCUCAGGCGGAGUCAGGGUCAGAGGGAGGAGCGGCCCCAGGGCAGGGACUGGGGGUGCUCUACAUCUCGUUCAGGUCCAGCAGGGUCUGGUCCAGCAUCCUUUGUGUACAGAGGUGCUCCUCUUUGGUGCACUUCAGCUUAUCUUCCAAGUCAUCGAUGGUCUUUUCCAGUUUGGCUACCGAUCUUUCAGCAAACUCGGCACGAGUCUCUGCCUCCUUGAGUUUGUCAGUGAGAAUCUUUAUCUCCUCUUCAUACUUGUCUUCUUUUUGAGAAUACUUUUCUUCAGCAGCACUCAGACACUUCUGGUCCAUCAGUCUGAUCUGCUCAUCCAUCUCUCGGCAACGGGACUCUGCCAGCUCGGCUCGUUCCUCCUUGCGUUCCAAGUCUCCUUCAAUAAUCACCAACUUACGAGCCACCUCUUCAUACUUCCUAUCUGCCUCUUCUGCAAUGUGCUUGGCUUCCUUUAGCUGGAUUUCCUGGAGUUCCAUCUUUUCCUCAUCUUUUAGAGCUCGGUUUUCAACCACCUUCAUUCCUCUUUCACUCUCAUCAGCAGCUUUUUCUGCUUCCUCUAGCUUCUGCAGGGCAGUGGCAAGGCGCUCCUGAGCACGGUCCAGCUCUUCUUCAACCAGCUGGAUCCUAUGGUUCAAGGAGGCCACCUCAGCUUCGGCCUGCUCCCGGGCCAGCCUUUCUCCCUCCACUUCCCGCUGGAGGCGCUCGGCCCUCUCCUUGGCAUCAUCUGCCUGCUGCUGCAGAACCUGGAUCUUGCGCUUCACCGCCUUGAUGAUGGUGAUCCCGGCCGUGGUGCCCACCCAGCUGCUUCUGGAAUUCUGUUCCUACCUCCUCCGCUCGGCGUUGUAGCCGCUUCUC
ensembl:lncRNA